rnacentral:rRNA from 1 species
GCUAAUCCUAUCAAAGCCGGUCUCAGUUCGGAUUGGAGUCUGCAACUCGACUCCAUGAAGUUGGAAUCGCUAGUAAUCGCGGGUCAGCUAUACCGCGGUGAAUACGUUCUCAAGUCUUGUACUCACUGCCCGUCAAUGCAAGGGAGCUGGUAGUACUGGAAGCUCGGCUUUAAGUCGGUCCAAAGUAAGAUCAGUAACAAGGCAUAAGUCGUAACAAGGCACGGCUAGCGGAAGCUGGUCGUGGAACAUAACUAUA